UACAGAGGGUGCGAGCGUUAAUCGGAAUUACUGGGCGUAAAGCGUGCGUAGACGGCUAUCUAAGUCGGGUGUGAAAGCCCCGGGCUCAACCUGGGAAUUGCAUUCGAGACUGAAUAGCUAGGGUACGGUAGAGGGAAGUGGAAUUCCCGGUGUAGUGGUGAAAUGCGUAGAUAUCGGGAGGAACACCAGUGGCGAAGGCGACUUCCUGGCCUGUUCUUGACGCUGAGGCGCGAAAGCUAGGGGAGCAAACGGG
rnacentral:rRNA from 1 species